rnacentral:rRNA from 1 species
AUUGAACGCUGGCGGCAGGCCUAACACAUGCAAGUCGAACGAGUGGCGUCAGGGUGAGUAAUGUAUGGGGAUCUGCCCGAUAGAGGGGGAUAACUACUGGAAACGGAGGCUAAUACCGCAUACUAUCGGAUGAACCCAUAUGGGAUUCGCUAGUAGGUGGGGGAAAGGCUCACCUAGGCGACGAUCUCUAGCUGGUCUGAGAGGCUGAUCAGCCACACUGGGACUGAGACACGGCCCAGACUCCUACGGGAGGCAGCAGUGGGGAAUAUUGCACAAUGGGCGCAAGCCUGAUGCAGCCAUGCCGCGUGUGUGAAGAAGGCCUGCGGGUUGUAAAGCACUUUCAGCGAGGAGGCGUUACUCGCAGAAGAAGCACCGGCUAACUCCGUGCCAGCAGCCGCGGUAAUAC